rnacentral:rRNA from 1 species
UGGGGAUUAUUGGACAUUGGGCGAAAGCCUGAUCCAGCCAUGCCGCGUGUGUGAAGAAGGUCUUCGGAUUGUAAAGCACUUUAAGUUGGGAGGAAGGGCAGUAAGCGAAUACCUUGCUGUUUUGACGUUACCGACAGAAUAAGCACCGGCUAACUCUGUGCCAGCAGCCGCGGUAAUACAGAGGGUGCAAGCGUUAAUCGGAAUUACUGGGCGUAAAGCGCGCGUAGGUGGUUCGUUAAGUUGAAUGUGAAAGCCCCGGGCUCAACCUAGGUACUGCAUCCAAAACUGGCGAGCUAGAGUAGGGCAGAGGGUGGUGGAAUUUCCUGUGUAGCGGUGAAAUGCGUAGAUAUAGGAAGGAACACCAGUGGCGAAGGCGACCACCUGGGCUCAUACUGACACUGAGGUGCGAAAGCGGGGGGAGCAAACAGG